AACGGUCUAUACCUGCGGUACCUGCGGAGGGAUCAUUAUAGAGUGGUAAACCCCCCGUAAAAGGGGGGGACCUCCUGUCCUUUGUAGGCUCUUUUUUAAAAGGGCUUUUUUUAAUUUUCUGCUUCGGUGGGGUUAUCCCACCGGAACAACCUCAAAACUCUUAUCAAAAAAUCGUUCUGUCUGAGAACCUUUUAUAAUAAAAAAAAACUUUUAACAAUGGAUCUCUAGAUCGGAAGAGCA
rnacentral:misc_RNA from 1 species